CCCACUGAAGAUUAAAACUUUUCAAAUCAAAAAUUCAUACUUGAAACGCAAAUAAAACUCGAAAAAAUAAACCCGAACACAGACCAAAUCGCCACCGAAACUUCAGCAACUGAACCUUGCUUCAAAAUUGGAAAGUUUUUUACCCUGUUUUCAGCUCGUCCAGAUCUGUUCUCACUAUGGUUCACUCGAUUUUUUCGGACUGAAAUUCCCCAUCUCUGUUUGUAUGUGUAUGUGUAUUCAAAAACGGAGAGAAAGCAAAAUCAGAUGAGGGCAAUGUCUGAAGGUCCCUGGUUCUCGUUCGCUGCUGAAGAAGACGAAGAACAGGGAGGUGUUUUUGGUUGGUGUUGCGGCUGGAAAUGAAGAAGUAGCAGUAGCUCGUCGGUUAGGGGUGUGGUGGCGACGAACUGGUGGGAAGAGCGGCGGGCUUCUUGUUUCUCGCCACUGGGUUACGGCGAGUUAGUGAAGGGGAGGUUGGUGUGAGGAAGGUGAGGUCAGGGGGGUCGGUUUUUUUUGUUCGGGGCGGGUUAUUUGCUCACGGAUCGGGCGGGUUUAUAAUUUUUGGGUGGGCUAAUUUUGGACCAAUGUAAGUAG
rnacentral:lncRNA from 1 species